rnacentral:rRNA from 2 species
CGGCGGCCAUAGCGAGAGGGAAACGCCCGGUCCCAUUCCGAACCCGGAAGCUAAGACUCUCAGCGCCGAUGGUACUGCAGGGGGGACCCUGUGGGAGAGUAGGACACCGC